rnacentral:rRNA from 1 species
UACGUAGGGUGCAAGCGUUAAUCGGAAUUACUGGGCGUAAAGCGUGCGCAGGCGGUUCGCUAAGACAGAUGUGAAAUCCCCGGGCUUAACCUGGGAACUGCAUUUGUGACUGGCGGGCUAGAGUAUGGCAGAGGGGGGUAGAAUUCCACGUGUAGCAGUGAAAUGCGUAGAGAUGUGGAGGAACACCGGUGGCGAAGGCGGCAUCCUGGACCAAUUCUGACGCUGAGUGAGCGAAAGCCAGGGGAGCAAACGGG